AGACCCGAAACCCGGUGAUCUAGCCAUGGGCAGGUUGAAGGUUGGGUAACACUAACUGGAGGACCGAACCGACUAAUGUUGAAAAAUUAGCGGAUGACCUGUGGCUGGGGGUGAAAGGCCAAUCAAACCGGGAGAUAGCUGGUUCUCCCCGAAAGCUAUUUAGGUAGCGCCUCGUGAAUUCAUCUCCGGGGGUAGAGCACUGUUUCGGCUAGGGGGCCAUCCCGGCUUACCAACCCGAUGCAAACUGCGAAUACCGGAGAAUGUUAUCACGGGAGACACACGGCGGGUGCUAACGUCCGUCGUGAAGAGGGAAACAACCCAGACCGCCAGCUAAGGUCCCAAAGUCAUGGUUAAGUGGGAAACGAUGUGGGAAGGCCCAGACAGCCAGGAUGUUGGCUUAGAAGCAGCCAUCAUUUAAAGAAAGCGUAAUAGCUCACUGGUCGAGUCGGCCUGCGCGGAAGAUGUAACGGGGCUAAACCAUGCACCGAAGCUGCGGCAGCGACGCUUAUGCGUUGUUGGGUAGGGGAGCGUUCUGUAAGCCUGUGAAGGUGGCCUGUGAGGGUUGCUGGAGGUAUCAGAAGUGCGAAUGCUGACAUAAGUAACGAUAAAGCGGGUGAAAAGCCCGCUCGCCGGAAGACCAAGGGUUCCUGUCCAACGUUAA
rnacentral:rRNA from 1 species